rnacentral:rRNA from 1 species
GACGAACGCUGGCGGCGUGCUUAACACAUGCAAGUCGAGCGGAAAGGCCACUUCGGUGGUACUCGAGCGGCGAACGGGUGAGUAACACGUGAGUAAUCUGCCCCUGGCUUUGGGAUAGCCACCGGAAACGGUGAUUAAUACCGGAUACGACCACUUCUCGCAUGGGAUGAUGGUGGAAAGUUGUUUCGGCCAGGGAUGUGCUCGCGGCCUAUCAGCUUGAUGGUGAUUGAAUGGUUCACCAUGGCUUCGCCGGGUAGCCGGCCUGAGAGGGUGACCGGUCACACUGGGACUGAGACACGGCCCAGACUCCUACGGGAGGCAGCAGUGGGGAAUAUUGGACAAUGGGCGGAAGCCUGAUCCAGCAACGCCGCGUGAGGGAUGACGGCCUUCGGGUUGUAAACCUCUUUCAGCAGGGACGAAGCGCAAGUGACGGUACCUGCAGAAGAAGCACCGGCCAACUACGUGCCAGCAGCCGCAGUAA